AACUUUCAACAACGGAUCUCUUGGUUCUGGCAUCGAUGAAGAACGCAGCGAAAUGCGAUAAGUAGUGUGAAUUGCAGAAUUCAGUGAAUCAUCGAAUCUUUGAACGCACAUUGCGCCCUUUGGUAUUCCAAAGGGCAUGCCUGUUCGAGCGUC
rnacentral:rRNA from 2 species